rnacentral:rRNA from 1 species
AUCCCUGGCCAUACCACCCUGAACACGCCCAAUCUUGUCUGAUCUUGGAAGCUAAGCAAGGUCAGGCCUGGUUAGUACAUGGGUGGGAGACUGGCUUUGCUCAAAGGCCAGUUAUU